rnacentral:rRNA from 1 species
UACGUGAGGUGGCGAGCGUUGUCCGGAUUUACUGGGCGUAAAGAGCGCGCAGGCGGUCGUACAAGUCGGCGUGUGAAAGCCCCCGGCUCAACUGGGGAGGGUCAAUUCGAUACUGAUCGACUUGAAGGCAGGAGAGAGAAGUGGAAUUCCCGGUGUAGUGGAUGAAAUGCGUAGAUAAUCGGGAGGAACACCAGUGGCGAAGGCG